rnacentral:rRNA from 1 species
GAUGAACGCGGGCGGCGUGCCUAACACAUGCAAGUCGAGCGAGGGUUUGCUCAGUAUUGAGUAUUCUAAAACUAGAAUGUUCAAUUCUGAGCAAAACCAAGCGGCGGACGGGUGAGUAACGCGUGGGUAACCUGCCCUAUACACAUGGAUAACAUACUGAAAAGUUUACUAAUACAUGAUAAUAUAUAUUUGCGGCAUCGCAGAUAUAUCAAAGUGUUAGCGGUAUAGGAUGGACCCGCGUCUGAUUAGCUAGUUGGUGAGAUAACUGCCCACCAAGGCGACGAUCAGUAGCCGACCUGAGAGGGUGAUCGGCCACAUUGGAACUGAGACACGGUCCAAACUCCUACGGGAGGCAGCAGUGGGGAAUAUUGCACAAUGGGCGAAAGCCUGAUGCAGCAACGCCACGUGAACGAUGAAGGUCUUCGGAUCGUAAAGUUCUGUUGCAGGGGAAGAUAAUGACGGUACCCUGUGAGGAAGCCCCGGCUAACUACGUGCCAGCAGCCGCGGUAAUACGUAGGGGGCUAGCGUUAUCCGGAUUUACUGGGCGUAAAGGGUGCGUAGGUGGUCCUUCAAGUCGGUGGUUAAAGGCUACGGCUCAACCGUAGUAAGCCGCCGAAACUGGAGGACUUGAGUGCAGGAGAGGAAAGUGGAAUUCCCAGUGUAGCGGUGAAAUGCGUAGAUAUUGGGAGGAACACCAGUAGCGAAGGCGGCUUUCUGGACUGCAACUGACACUGAGGCACGAAAGCGUGGGUAGCAAACAGG